UUGAAGUAGGAAUUAUCCCCGCUUUGCAGAUGAAGAAACCGAGAAGGAAGGCUUCGUUUAGGUAGAAGGACAACCCCCUGAAGUGGAGGAGACUUGGGCCAGACUAGACUAGCCAGGAUGGAGGAAGAGCCAGAAUAAUCCUUAAGGAGGGAAAGGCAGGGCACAGCUGGCCCAAAGAGUGAUGUGAGACCACGCAACAGAUAGGAACCAAGUUCUGGGGACAGCAGAUGCAGAAUCGGGAGUGGUGAAGCCUGCCUAGUGGAUGCUGGUUCAGAACAGAAGACUCAGACCAACGCUAAGAACCAAGGAAGAGGACGAAGGUCUGCCUAUCCCUCCUCUUGUCUCCAGGUUGGGACCAGAAGCACAUCCAGCUGCUGCCAGAAAUCCCCACCUGACCCUGCUUUCGGGCAGGGAGCUGGGCCCCCUCGUGCUGCAGAACCCUCCACCCACCAGCGCCUGGCCACUCCCAAACCAGCUGCAGAGGCUUGGAGAGGACACUUCAUAAGACAAAGUGUACCCAACUCAAAAAGGGCGUGCUGCCACAUCCAGCUGUCUUCCGGAAAGAACCAGAUCAACUGCUACUCUGCUGAAGAUGGAAAAAAUCCCAUUAAUUUCCUGAGUCUGGACACAGCCCCAGAUGACUGAAGCGUCAAUCUCCCAGCCUCUGUGCAAUGGAGCUAACCCCCUCCCGAUCCUUUCUCUAAUCCAGGGUUUCUCAACCUUGCCACUGACAUUUUGGGCCAGAUAAUUGUAUGUUGAAAGGACUGUCCUGUGCCUCAUAGGAUGUUGAGCAGCAUCCCUGGCCUCUACUCAUUAGAUGCCAGUAGCAGCUCACCCACCCAACUGUUAUAGCCACAAGUGUCUCCAGACAUUGCCAAAUGUCUCCUGGGGUCAGUAAGACAACAGAUUGCCCCCAGUUAGGAUUACAGUAAAAUUGCCCCCAGGUAAGAACCAUUGCUCAAAUCUUAAGCAUAGCUUGAUCCGGAGCUGUUCGAUGUUGCAGGAUAAUAACCCCUACACUGGACAUUACUUAUCCACACUGCAGGCUUCUAGUGAUCAGUAACUCACAUGGAACACUUAUUAAGUGCCAGGCAUCCCACAUCUAACAUAGAUCAACUCACUGACUCCUCACAGCAGCCCUUUGGGGCAGGUACUCUUAUUACUCCAUUUUACAGAUGAGGAGACUGAAGCACAAGAGGUUCGAUGAGUUACUCAGGGUUAUGCUGUUGACAAACUACCCCAGAAAGCCAGGCUCUCUGCAGGGCAUGUGCCCGCAUUUAUGUGCUCAUUGAAUCCUAACUACUUUACAAGUCAAAGUGCCAUGAUGUGUGGAUUUCAUAGGAGGAAACGGAGGCUCAUGCAGUUUCCAUGAACUCACCCAGUAUCCCAUAGCCAUGGCAACUGGCAGAGCCAGGGUUUGAACCCAAAGCUUAUGGUGAAGCCCGUUAUCUUCCCACUACUCCUGACUGCCUUUUAGAGAUGCGCAAAUACACUUUUGGCUUGACAGAUGCUUAGAGAUUUUAUUCACAUAGAUAAUAAGUGAAGAUUUAUUGAAUAGUUAUUGAUGUCCACUCCAUGCGAGGUCCUGUAGUUAAGAACACAGGCCCUUCCUUAUCUUUUAGAGACAAUGCUGAACUAUCUAAAGAUGAUGUGAGGUCUGGAAUUUGCUUCAACCUAACCCAGGGUGUGGAGGAGUGAUUGGUGGGGGGACACAUGAAAUGGGAUGGGUGGUAAGCUGGUAACUGUGGAGGCCGGUGAUGGCUAUGUCUUUAACUCUUGUGAUAUUUUCCAUCUUACGAUGACUUUUAAAGUGUGAACACUGAAUUCUUGUCUGGGUUUAUGCCCUGGCUUCACCACCCAGGGUGUCAUCUUGAAUACUUUUCUUUGCUUCUCUAGACCUUGGUUUCCUCCUCCCUAAACUGAGCAUAAUCAUUUCCAGCUGACAGGGUUGUUGUAAGGAUUGAGUAAGAUGACCCAGGACAGUAUGUGGACCACCUGCACAGAGUGAGGACCUGGCCAAUAGCAGGACUCCUCAGGGCUCAUAGCAGCUCCUCUGACAUCGCUACAAGGACUUCACUGUCUGCAAGUAGACAGGGAAGACAGCCUCAUUCCAGAACCUCACCCUAGCAGUAUCCUCAGUCUACCUCCAGCCCAGAUUGCGAGGGCGGCCCUAAGCCUUGUGAUGGCCCUGGAGGGAGUCUGAGCUACCCAGACAGCAGGAUGGAGACAAAACUUCUAAUCCCCAUGAAGGACUCUGAGUUCGUGCAAGCCCUCCACCCCUCGGCACCAGCUGUGAAAAGGCCUCAUCUGGAAUUCCUGGUGGUUGAGCAGACAGCAAGGUCCUUGCUGAAGCCACAGAUGAGGGGACCCUCCCACCCAUUCAGCCCUUUCCCCUUGCUUCCUCUGCACUCUUGAGGGGCUGGCCCCCUUCUCUCAUCAGCUGUCUGGGCUGGUUGAAUUAUUUCAGUGUUCUCGGACUCUCAGGAGUUGGCAUAGAGCGUUGGAAGCCCUCCAGGAAUUCCAGCUGGGUAUGGAGCAUGGAUGAACUUGGCAGGUCACCUACUUCCUACUCAGUGCCUGUCCACUUCCCCUGGGCUGACAGGAAGGGAUAGGGAUUGUCUCAUGAUUGGAGGGUGUCUUCUUGGGGACUGGGCCUCCAUUCGGCAAAUAUUCCAUGAGUUGUCCUCCGUGUCCCAGACUUCCUUACAGUAGUAAGUUGCAGCCGUGUGACUAAUCCCCAUCAAUGGGCUGUGAGAGGAAAUGACACGUGUAACUUCUGGGCCACGGCGGUUAACAGCCAGAGCGCCUUGGCCUCCCUCCUCUUCCCCAGAUGCAGUGACCUUGGGGGCCAUGCAUUCCAAAUGACAUGGGACCGCAAUGGAGGAAACAAACCUUUAUUGUCUAGCACUGCUGAGCUUGGGGGUUUAUCUGCCUCUGCAGCAGAGCCAAGCCUAACCUGACUAAUAACAGGGCCUGUUGAAAAUAUCAUUUCAACCUCCAGGGUCUGGGGUCUAAAGGUCAGCCAUGCAGGCAGGCAGGCAUCGACCAUGACUCCCCAGUAAAAACUCAGAACACCAAGGCUCAGGUAAGCCCCCCGGUUGGCAAUAUUCUGCUUAUUGUCACACAUCAUACCUGGAGGAGUCAGCCCUGUCUGUGACUCCACAGGCAAUGAACAAUGGGAGCUCUGACAUUGGAACCCUCUUGGGUUCUACCCCACAUGUGUCUUCCUUGAUUUGAUCUGUAUCCUUACACAGUAAUAAACCAUAACCAUGGGUAUAAACACUUUCAGUGACUUCCAUGAGUCUUUCUAGCAAAUGGUCAAACCUGAGAAUGGCCUUGGGAAUGAACGCCCAAACUCCACAGUUAGAAGUGAGGGUGGUCUGUGGACUGCCCCCCUGACUUCAAGCUGCCUUUGCUUUCCCUCAUGAAAGACCUGGAGCCAAAGGUGGCACCAUGUGAAUGGACCUUGCCAGACCCUGGAGAUAGAUUCAUGGGCCCAUCUGUCCUCAGGGGCCAACAUCACAAAUGAGGAAAAUGAUGGAGACUCUCCUUUGACAACACUGGGUCAUCUGACAGAGUCUGAUGAACUUGCAGCCCCAUCUGGAUGUUCAGGUCACAUCUGCAAGGGGUCUGGUAUGAAGAUGUUCAUUUCAGCACUGCUGGUGGGAGCGGGAGCUGGAGGGAGCUCAGGUGUGCAUCCCUCAGGGACUGGA
rnacentral:lncRNA from 10 species